GACGUAGGGCGCGAGCGUUGUCCGGAAUUAUUGGGCGUAAAGAGCUCGUAGGCGGCUUGUCGCGUCGACUGUGAAAACCUGGGGCUUAACUCCGGGCCUGCAGCCGAUACGGGCAAGCUAGAGUUCGGUAGGGGAGACUGGAAUUCCUGGUGUAGCGGUGAAAUGCGCAGAUAUCAGGAGAACACCCGGUGGCGAAGGCGGGCUCUGGUAC
rnacentral:rRNA from 1 species